rnacentral:lncRNA from 1 species
CUCUAUUCCCACUGCUAGCCCCAGGCAUCACAACAAGGGCUCCACCAGCCUCUCAGUUCAGUGUGCUUGGCCAUCUGAUAUCAAACUGCCAAGCUGAAGAUCACCAAUGGAGCUCCUAUUGACUCCAGCAGGCAGCUGAGGACAGCUGCUCCUCUGCCACCUCCAGCACAGGAUCCAGCAACUCCAGUUCUCCACCCCAUCAAGGCAAGGAGCACCCUGGACAUGGCAUUUCUCUCCUUUGAAGAUCCCAAUUAUUUGCCUCUUUCUCAAGGGUUUUUCCAUCUACAUCAGUGCCCAAAGGAGCAGCACCUAUGGAAAAGAGGUUACCUUCAAUCUUCAAAGAAGAGAUGGAAGAAGCUGCACCUAAAGCCCCUCUCCCUGUGAGUCCAACAUCCCAGCACAGCCCACCCAGGAGUCAGAACCUCAACACAUUUCCUGGCAACUGCCUGAAGUGCUCAUCUUCUACCAGAGCAGGUAAAAAACAGCUGCUUUCCCUGCCAGAUUGCUGGGGCUGAGCACUCAGAUCAUCCCAUCAGCCUCCUCCUCACUGGUCCACCCAAGGACAGCACUCUCAUGCUGUGGGCACUGCAGAAAUGCAGAAUAGAGGAUGAGCCCUGCUUCAAAGCUUCCCAAAUUUGCAAGAAGUGGAUCAGUGGAGACGUACUACCACAGCCUAUGGGUGGAAGUCUCAGUUGAGAGAGACCAAUACAGUGACAAUCCCAAAAGCAAUCAUUUCUGACUUACAAGGGAUGUGGCAAUUAUGCUUCCAGCUCAGACACUUAAACUGAGCCAAGUGUUUGACUCCAUCCCUAGGAGAAGCCCAACGCCUGACAGAAAACAUGAUAGCCAGAAACACAUCCUUCUCCAGCACUCCAACAUCAUCCCUGCCCUGUAAUGGCACAGCUGCUCCUACAGCAGGGGCCACACACAUCCUCCCACCUCCAGCAGCAAAAGCCAAACAAUUCCCUUUAAGUGCCAGAAUUUAUUAUUGCAACACAUCAGUAGAA